CGUCUCAGUUCGGAUUGCAGGCUGCAACUCGCCUGUAUGAAGUCGGAAUUGCUAGUAAUCGCGGAUCAGCAUGCCGCGGUGAAUACGUUCCCGGGCCUUGUACACACCGCCCGUCACACCAUGAGAGCCGGGAACACCCGAAGUCCGUAGUCUAACCGCAAGGAGGACGCGGCGAAGGUGGGUUUGGUAAUUGGGGUGAAGUCGUAACAAGGUAAC
rnacentral:rRNA from 1 species